rnacentral:rRNA from 1 species
UGGGGAAUAUUGCACAAUGGACGGAAGUUUGAUGCAGCGACGCCGCGUGGAGGGUGUAGGCCUUCGGGUUGUGAACUCCUUUUUCUCGCGAAAAAGGCACAGUUUUGGCUGUGUUGAUGGUAGUGGGGGAAGAAGCGCCGGCUAACUACGUGCCAGAAGCCGCGGUAAUACGUAGGGCGCGAGCGUUGUCCGGAUUUAUUGGGCGUAAAGAGCUCGUAGGUGGUUCGUCGCGUCUGUCGUGAAAGCCAGCAGCUUAACUGUUGGUCUGCGGUGGGUACGGGCGGGCUUGAGUGCGGUAGGGGUGACUGGAAUUCCUGGUGUAGCGGUGGAAUGCGCAGAUAUCAGGAGGAACACCGAUGGCGAAGGCAGGUCACUGGGCCGUUACUGACACUGAGGAGCUAAAGCGUGGGGAGCGAACAGG